AUUGAACGCUGGCGGCAGGCCUAACACAUGCAAGUCGAACGGUAACAGGAAGCAGCUUGCUGCUUCGCUGACGAGUGGCGGACGGGUGAGGAAUGUCUGGGAAGCUGCCUGAUGGAGGGGGAUAACUACUGGAAACGGUAGCUAAUACCGCAUAAUGUCGCAAGACCAAAGAGGGGGACCUUCGGGCCUCUUGCCAUCGGAUGUGCCCAGAUGGGAUUAGCUUGUUGGUGGGGUAACGGCUCACCAAGUCGACGAUCCCUAGCUGGUCUGAGAGGAUGACCAGCCACACUGGAACUGAGACACGGUCCAGACUCCUACGGGAGGCAGCAGUGGGGAAUAUUGCACAAUGGGCGGAAGCCUGAUGCAGCCAUGCCGCGUGUAUGAAGAAGGCCUUCGGGUUGUAAAGUACUUUCAGCGGGGAGGAAGGGAGUAAAGUUAAUACCUUUGCUCAUUGACGUUACCCGAAGAAGAAGCACCGGCUAACUCCGUG
rnacentral:rRNA from 1 species